rnacentral:rRNA from 1 species
UUUUAUUUGAGAGUUUGAUCCUGGCUCAGGAUGAACGCUGGCGGCGUGCCUAACACAUGCAAGUUGGGCGAUUUACUUCGGUAAAGAGCGGCGGACGGGUGAGUAACGCGUGGGUAACCUACCCUGUACACACGGAUAACAUACCGAAAGGUAUGCUAAUACGGGAUAAUAUAUUUGAGAGGCAUCUCUU